rnacentral:rRNA from 1 species
CGGACGGGUGAGUAACGCGUGGGGAACCUGCCCUGUACAGGGGGAUAACACUUAGAAAUAGGUGCUAAUACCGCAUAAGCGCACAGUCUCGCAUGAGACGGUGUGAAAAACUCCGGUGGUAUACGAUGGAUCCGCGUCUGAUUAGCUUGUUGGCGGGGUAACAGCCCACCAAGGCGACGAUCAGUAGCCGGCCUGAGAGGGUGAACGGCCACAUUGGGACUGAGACACGGCCCAAACUCCUACGGGAGGCAGCAG